AUGAAUUGUUGUUUAUCCUAAAGGCACCAGAUCCCAUCAGAUCAUGGAAGUUAAGCAGUGUCACCCCUGGUUACUACUAAACUAGGGGACCACCCACAAAUACCUGGUGCUGGUCCUU
rnacentral:rRNA from 11 species